rnacentral:tRNA from 1 species
AUUUACAUAGUUUAUUAAUUAAAACAUUACAUUUUCACUGUAAAAAAAAUUUUAUAAUUUGUAAAUU